rnacentral:rRNA from 1 species
UACAGACGGUCCAAACGUUAUUCGGAAUUACUGGGCUUAAAGAGUUCGUAGGCGGUCAAGAAAGUGGGGUGUGAAAGCCCUCGGCUCAACCGAGGAACUGCGCUCCAAACUACUUGACUUGAGGAGGCUAGAGGUAAGCGGAACUGAUGGUGGAGCGGUGAAAUGCGUAGAUAUCAAGAGGAACACCUGCGGCGAAGGCGGGUUGCUGGGCCGACACUGACGCUGAGGCGCGAAAGCUAGGGGAGCGAACGGG